GAUGAACGCUGGCGGCGUGCCUAAUACAUGCAAGUCGAGCGAACAGAUAAGGAGCUUGCUCCUUUGACGUUAGCCGCGGACGGGUGAGUAACACGUGGGUAACCUACCUAUAAGACUGGGAUAACUUCGGGAAACCGGAGCUAAUACCGGAUAAUAUUUCGAACCGCAUGGUUCGUUAGUGAAAGAUGGUUUUGCUAUCACUUAUAGAUGGACCCGCGCCGUAUUAGCUAGUUGGUAAGGUAACGGCUUACCAAGGCGACGAUACGUAGCCGACCUGAGAGGGUGAUAGGCCACACUGGAACUGAGACACGGUCCAGACUCCUACGGGAGGCAGCAGUAGGGAAUCUUCCGCAAUGGGCGAAAGCCUGACGGAGCAACGCCGCGUGAGUGAUGAAGGUCUUCGGAUCGUAAAACUCUGUUAUUAGGGAAGAACAUACGUGUAAGUAACUGUGCACGUCUUGACGGUACCUAAUCAGAAAGCCACGGCUAACUACGUG
rnacentral:rRNA from 1 species